UACAGAGGGUGCGAGCGUUAAUCGGAAUUACUGGGCGUAAAGCGCGCGUAGGCGGCUUUGCAAGUCGGGUGUGAAAUCCCCAGGCUUAACCUGGGAACUGCAUUCGAGACUGCAUUGCUAGAGUAUGGGAGAGGGAAGUGGAAUUUCCGGUGUAGCGGUGAAAUGCGUAGAUAUCGGAAGGAACAUCAGUGGCGAAAGCGACUUCCUGGACCAAUACUGACGCUCAUGUGCGAAAGCGUGGGGAGCAAACAGGAUUGAGAAACCCUUAGUAG
rnacentral:rRNA from 1 species